rnacentral:misc_RNA from 1 species
UACGAGGGGUGCAAACGUUAUUCGGAUUAACUGGGCGUAAAGGGUGUGUAGACGGAACAUUAAGUUCGUUGUUAAAUCUUUCGGCUUAACCGGAAGCUUGCGGUGAAAACUAAUGAUCUUGAGGGUGAAAGAGAGAAGUGGAAUUCUCGGAGUAGCGGUAAAAUGCGUAGAUCUCGAGAGGAACACCGAUGGCGAAGGCAGCUUCUUGGUUCACUUCUGACGUUGAGACACGAAAGCGUGGGUAGCAAACAGG